rnacentral:rRNA from 1 species
AGAGUUUGAUCAUGGCUCAGAACGAACGUUGGCGGCGUGGAUUAGGCAUGCAAGUCGAACGAAUCCCAAGGGGCUUGCUCUUUGGGGGAAGUGGCGAAAGGGGCAGUAAUGCGUAGGUAACCUACCUCGGGGACGGGGAUAGCCUUCCUAACGGAUGGAUAAUACCCGGCGAUCUGGCGAUGAGGCAUCUUGUUGCCAGGAGAUGAAUUUCGCCUCGAGAGGGACUUACGUCGUAUUAGCUAGUUGGCGGGGUAACGGCCCACCAAGGCAAAGAUGCGUAGCGGGUGUGAGAGCACGACCCGCGCCACUGGCACUGAGACACUGGCCAGACUCCUACGGGAGGCUGCAGUCGAGGAUCCUCGGCAAUGGGCGCAAGCCUGCCGAGCGACGCCGCGUGCGCGAUGAAGGCCUUCGGGUUGUAAAGCGCUGUCGAGGGGGAGGAAGCCGCAAGGUUGACCGAUCCCUGGAGGAAGCACGGGCUAAGUUCGUGCCAGCAGCCGCGGUAAGACGAACCGUGCGAACGUUGUUCGGAAUCACUGGGCUUAAAGGGCGCGUAGGCGGGCGAUCAAGUCUGUGGUGAAAUCCUUCGGCUCAACCGGAGAACUGCCGUGGAUACUGGUCGUCUGGAGGGAGGUAGGGGCAGCGGGAACUUCCGGUGGAGCGGUGAAAUGCGUAGAGAUCGGAAGGAACGCCGGUGGCGAAANNNCGCUGCUGGACCUCUUCUGACGCUGAGGCGCGAAAGCUAGGGGAGCAAACGGGAUUAGAUACCCUAGUAGUCC